rnacentral:rRNA from 1 species
UUAUAUGGUCAAGAAGAGAAGCGCAAACGGUGGAUGCCUUGGCAGUAAGAGGCGAAGAAGGACGUGGAAUCCUGCGAAAAGCUAUGGGGAGCUGGAAACGAGCGAUGAGCCAUAGAUGUCCGAAUGGGGGAACCCGGCUGCAGCGAUGCGGUCAUUUGCAUUUGAAUACAUAGGAUGCAAAGGCGAACUCGGGGAACUGAAACAUCUAAGUACCCGAAGGAAAAGAAAUCAAGAGAGAUUCUCCAAGUAGCGGCGAGCGAACGGGGAGGAGCCUGGCGUGAUUUAUUAUUGAACUGAGUAGAACAAUUUGGGAAAGUUGGCGAUAGAGGGUGAAAGCCCCGUAUACGAAGGUUUGAUGAGGAACUAGGCACGCGAACAAGUAGGCCGGGACACGUGAAAUCCUGGUUGAAGAUGGGUGGACCAUCAUCCAAGGCUAAAUACUACUUACUGACCGAUAGUGAACCAGUACCGUGAGGGAAAGGUGAAAAGAACCCCGGAGAGGGGAGUGAAAUAGAAUCUGAAACCGUUUGCGUACAAGCAGUGGGAGCAUGGUUUAGGCUGUGUGACUGCGUACCUUUUGUAUAAUGGGUCAGCGAGUUACUUUCAGUGGCGAGGUUAACUGAAUAAGGGAGCCGUAGAGAAAUCGAGUCUGAAUAGGGCGAUAGUCGCUGGGAGUAGACCCGAAACCGGGCGAUCUAGCCAUGUGCAGGAUGAAGGUUGGGUAACACCAACUGGAGGUCCGAACCGGGUAAUGUUGAAAAAUUAUCGGAUGACGUGUGGCUAGGAGUGAAAGGCUAAUCAAGCCCGGAGAUAGCUGGUUCUCCCCGAAAGCUAUUUAGGUAGCGCCUCGUGAAUGAUUACUGGGGGUAGAGCACUGUUUCGGCUAGGGGGCUGUCAUGGCUUACCAAACCGAUGCAAACUCCGAAUACCGGCUAAUUGAAUCACGGGAGACACACGGCGGGUGCUAACGUCCGUCGUGGAGAGGGAAACAACCCAGACCGCCAGCUAAGGUCCCCAAGUACUAGUUAAGUGGGAAACGAUGUGGGAAGGCAUAGACAGCCAGGAGGUUGGCUUAGAAGCAGCCACCCUUUAAAGAAAGCGUAAUAGCUCACUGGUCGAGUCGGCCUGCGCGGAAGAUGUAACGGGGCUAAAACUAGUCACCGAAGCUGCGGAUGUGCGCGAAGGCGCACGUGGUAGGGGAGCGUUCUGUAGGCUGAUGAAGGUGCAUUGAGAAGUGUGCUGGAGGUAUCAGAAGUGCGAAUGCUGACAUGAGUAACGAUAAUGUGGGUGAAAAGCCCACACGCCGGAAGUCCCAGGUUUCCUGCACGACGUUAAUCGGAGCAGGGUGAGUCGGCCCCUAAGGCGAGGCUGAAGAGCGUAGUCGAUGGGAACCAGGUUAAUAUUCCUGGACUUUUUAUAAGUGGUGAAGUGGGGACGAAGAAGGCUAGGUGAGCCAGGCGUUGGUUGUCCUGGUACUUGCAUGUAGGGGGGAAGACUUGGCAAAUCCGGUUUUCCAUAACUCUGAGGUGCGAAGUGGUUCUGACCUUUUGGUACAGAGAAGUCAUUGAUGCCCGGCUUCCAGGAAAAGCUGCUAGCCAUAACUUAUAGAGAACCGUACCGCAAACCGACACAGGUGGACAGGUAGAGAAUACUAAGGCGCUUGAGAGAACUCGGGUGAAGGAACUAGGCAAAAUGGUACCGUAACU